AUGCCUGUUCGAGCGUCAUUUCACCACUCAAGCCUCGCUUGGUAUUGGGCAACGCGGUCCGCCGCGUGCCUCAAAUCGACCGGCUGGGUCUUCUGUCCCCUAAGCGUUGUGGAAACUAUUCGCUAA
rnacentral:rRNA from 1 species